ACACCGGCAGCCCAAGUGGUGGCCAUUUUUAUUGGGCCUAAAGCGUUCGUAGCCGGCCUGAUAAGUCUCUGGUGAAAUCCCGCAGCUUAACUGUGGGAAUUGCUGGAGAUACUAUCAGGCUUGAGGUCGGGAGAGGUUAGAGGUACUCCCAGGGUAGGGGUGAAAUCCUAUAAUCCUGGGAGGACCACCUGUGGCGAAGGCGUCCAGCUGGAACGAACCUGACGGUGAGGGACGAAAGCCAGGGGCGCGAACCGGAUUAGAUACCCGGGUAGUCCUGGCCGUAAACGAUGUGGACUUGGUGUUGGGAUGGCUUCGAGCUGCCCCAGUGCCGAAGGGAAGCUGUUAAGUCCACCGCCUGGGAAGUACGGUCGCAAGGCUGAAACUUAAAGGAAUUGGCGGGG
rnacentral:rRNA from 1 species